rnacentral:rRNA from 1 species
UACGAAGGGGGCUAGCGUUGCUCGGAAUUACUGGGCGUAAAGCGCACGUAGGCGGCUUUCUAAGUCGGAGGUGAAAUCCUGGAGCUCAACUCCAGAACUGCCUUUGAUACUGAAGAUCUUGAGUUCGGGAGAGGUGAGUGGAACUGCGAGUGUAGAGGUGAAAUUCGUAGAUAUUCGCAAGAACACCAGUGGCGAAGGCGGCUCACUGGCCCGAUACUGACGCUGAGGCACGAAAGCGUGGGGAGCAAACAGG